rnacentral:lncRNA from 1 species
AUGAAUCGGAUAUGACCGAUGCUUUGUCAAGGGCUCAUAUGAGAGAAGAAAAGGAGGCUGGAGAUGCAGAGAAAGAAGCUCUAAGCUCAACAAAGGCAUCAGGUUAAUUUUGCUUCAAUUCUUAGGGCCAACUUAUUGUACUAUGUAAUCUAUCUAGUUAGUUACCAGAAGAUUUGCAAUAAAUAAAUAGCUGCCUGGUUCUCAAUAGGUUUGUAGCAUAGUGCCAAUUAUGUGCAACAAUACAUGUUGAGAAGACAAUCAAAUGGAAUUUAAAUACAGUAUUUUUCAAAUGCGUUCUUUGCCAGGAAAGCAGAGAGGGAGAGAGAGAGGAGCAGUAGAUGAACUAAAUGGGUUGGUUGUGUUGGGUUGCAAGCCACGAACUGAGCAUCACAAACAUCCUGUACUAACCUAGAACUAUAAUUGGUAUAUGGAUAAUAGUAUGCAGAGUUGGCCGCCGAAGCAGUAGGAGUUGUCCAGCACUGCUGCUUUAGUUGGAUGGAAAAGCAGUCCUAGUUGCGCACCCAAUUUUCUUGGGUGUCUCUGUGGCAAAAUCAGUAGUACAAGUUGUGCAUAAUACUUGAUGGAGUUGGCGCAGCAAAAUAGUAAAAUUUGAGUGUCAUUUAUAUUAUUUUUUCUAUUUUUGUGGUCGAGUUUUUCUUCUAGAAGCCUGAAAUCUGAAUAUUUCAUUUCCCAAGAGUAUCUAAAUAAUUGGCAUCUCAAGAUUUUCAGUUGCACAAGAGCAUUCAGAAACAUCCAUUUUCCCUGAUUUUUGGUUUGACAAGGAUGAAAACGUCGGCAUUAGAGUCGUGGUCGUGGCAGGGAAGGCGAACCCAGCGCAGCUCUGCCAGUGGCUCAAGAGGAAGAUAAGCAAGGAUGUCAAGAUUUUCCGCCGUUGUCCACACGGGCUGAGAAUUGUAAUAAGCAGGUAUGCAUCCCUCUUGUCUACUUGUACUACAGAAUGAAGGAUGAUGUGUGUAAUAUCCAAAUGAAUGUACGUUAUUACGAAGGGCUAGCCGUGUGGGGUUAAGGUGCUUGCCGCCGGCGACCUGCGUGGCUCUCGGCCUGCAUCCUCGCUGAACUCAACACCAACUAUCGCGCGCCCGCGAUGUGACUGCUGUUGCAACAACGACGGCCAACGGCUAUUGAACGACGAGGAUGCCCUUCGGGGUUAUAGCAUGCAAAGCAAAGCAGUUGCUCGAUCCUCACAGCCAAUAUAUCUCCGUGUAGAAGCAGAAGAAGCAGCAAUUGAUUCGUAAGCAGCAAUUUUAUCUGUUUCAUUCCUUUGUAUUUUUGCCCUCUGUUUCUGCUGAAUGUAUGUAUCACUUUUUUCAG